rnacentral:rRNA from 1 species
UACGUAGGGUGCAAGCGUUUGUUCGGAAUUAUUGGGCGUAAAGGGCGCGUAGGCGGCUUUUCAAGUGGCGGGUGAAAUCCCUCGGCUUAACCGAGGAACUGCCUGCCAGACUGGAUGGCUUGAGACCGGGAGAGGUGAGUGGAAUUCCCAGUGUAGCGGUGAAAUGCGUAGAUAUUGGGAGGAACACCAGUGGCGAAGGCGGCUCACUGGACCGGUACUGACGCUGAGGCGCGAAAGCGUGGGGAGCAAACAGG